CUGCACUAUUCACCAUCUUUUCACACUGAUCAGCCUCUCCUUAGUUCAGUAUUUACCUCCUUUAAAAGCCAUCCUCAUUACCUAAAAUCUUUAGCAGCUGCAAAGGAUUUUAAACGGUAAAGAUCUCUUUCUCCCCUUAUUUCUCUUGAAUCAACAAGAACAAGCUCUUAACCAUUUUCUGCAAAUCUUUUCUGCAGAAACAAGAUCACCAUACAUAACAUAGCAGAACAUCAACCUGAUUUCCUCUACAGAAUACUAAUCGGUAAUUUCAUUGUUUCAAUAAACUUUUAUUUCAUCACACAAGCUACUUCAUUCAUAGCUUAUGCAGAAACCCAACAAUAUGCCUCUCACAGAUCAUUUUAUUCUCAAAUCAAACACCAAAC
rnacentral:lncRNA from 1 species